rnacentral:rRNA from 1 species
AUGGAUUUCGUGGAGGGGCUGCCGAAGUCUGAAGGCGCCGACGCAAUCAUGGUCGUCGUCGAUCGGCUGACCAAGUACGCGCACUUUGUGCCGCUUCGUCAUCCCUUCACCACUGUUCAGGUCGCGCGCGCCUUCUGGGAGAACAUCAUCAAGCUCCACGGUGUCCCACAUUCGAUCGUCUCCGACCGCGACAAAAUCUUCACAAGCACGAUGUGGCGCAAAUUGCUCGCCGCCGCGGGAACCAAGCUACUCUACUCAACCACAUACCACCCCCAGACGGACGGCCAAACUAAGCACGUCAAUCAAUGCCUGGAGAUGUACCUGCGGUGUGCAGUCCACGACACGCCGCGGCAAUGGCGCAAGUGGCUACCGGUGGCAGAGUUCUGGUACAAUUCUGCGCAUCACGUCUCCCUGAAUUCCUCUCCCUUCAAGGCACUGUAUGUAAGAGAGCCUAAUUUGGGGGGAUUACCUCACCUGAGCGCCACGCUCCCCGGCGAUGCGGCAUCCGGUGAUCUGGACUGGGCUGCUCACACUGAACGGCUGCGUGCCCAGCUGGCACGUGCUCAAGCUCAUUUCAAGAAACAAGCAGAUCAACACCGGGUAGAACGAGCUUUCGACGUUGGCAAACAGGUCCUUCUCAAGCUGCAGCCGUACGCACGGUCCUCCGUCGCCAAUCGCCCAUGCAAGAAACUCGCCUACAAGUUCUUCGGUCCAUUCUUGGUGACUAAGCGAAUCGGCACGCUGGCAUAUCGCCUGCAACUUCCCACAAACAGCAGUAUCCAUCCGGUAUUCCACGUCUCUCAAUUGAAGCCAUUUACUCCUGACUAUACUCCGGUGUUCUCUGAUCUGCCAAGAGUACCGGACCUCGUCGGAGAGCAAACAGAACCAGUGGCAAUCCUACAGCGGCGUAUGAUGAAGAAAGGAGAUGCCCCAGUGGUGCAGCUGCAAGUUCAGUGGGCAAACAUGCCAUCGUCGGCUACAACCUGGGAAGACCACGACGUCCUUCGUCAUCGGUACCCAUCAGCAAGCAUCUGGGAAGAGUCUGCAUCGCAAGAGGGGAGCAAUGUCAUGCCUGCAGAUUCUGCUACGGCACCUGCAGCGGACUAA